rnacentral:rRNA from 1 species
AUUGAACGCUGGCGGCAUGCCUUACACAUGCAAGUCGAACGGUAACAGGUCUUCGGAUGCUGACGAGUGGCGAACGGGUGAGUAAUACAUCGGAACGUGCCCGAGGGUGGGGGAUAACGAAGCGAAAGCUUUGCUAAUACCGCAUACGAUCUCAGGAUGAAAGCAGGGGACCGCAAGGCCUUGCGCUCACGGAGCGGCCGAUGGCAGAUUAGGUAGUUGGUGGGAUAAAAGCUUACCAAGCCGACGAUCUGUAGCUGGUCUGAGAGGACGACCAGCCACACUGGGACUGAGACACGGCCCAGACUCCUGCGGGAGGCAGCAGUGGGGAAUUUUGGACAAUGGGCGCAAGCCUGAUCCAGCCAUGCCGCGUGCAGGAUGAAGGCCUUCGGGUUGUAAACUGCUUUUGUACGGAACGAAAAGACUCUGGUUAAUACCUGGGGUCCAUGACGGUACCGUAAGAAUAAGCACCGGCUAACUACGUGCCAGCAGCCGCAGUAA